UUCUGGAAAUUUGCAUGCUAGAUCAUCCAUUUUUUAUCUUCUUUGUUUUCUCUCCUUCCAUUAGUCCUCAGAGUACCCUAUUCUGAAAUCUAUUUCUUAGUAUCAAAUCUCUCCAAAUUGAUAAGAUAUUGCAGACCAAGAUGCAUCUAAUUGGGAACUAAAUACAUAGUGCCAUCCUUUUCUGAAAUCUAUUUCUUAGAUCUUAUCAAGGCUCUUCAAAUUGGUAAGAUAUUGCAGACCAAGAUCCAUCUAAUUGGGAACUAAGUAAAUAGUGCAACUAAUUGAAAAGAUGUACUAAACUCUAAAGCUUAUGAGAACCAGCUGUUGGGAGUUGAUGCAAACUUCGUUGAAUGGAGGACUAUGUUUUGCUUUACAUCUUUCAAUUUAGCAUAUAUGCACUAUCAUCUUGUACGAGUUUCACAAAAUUAUGGUUCAUUUGUUCUAGCUAUUGUUAUCAUCCUACAUCUCUGCACCUUCAGUUUCAAAGAAUAAAUGUUCCAUUUUAUCAAUUCAGCACCUCUGUGAUUUAAGAAAACUUUUUUCUAUGUAUGUAGGGUUUCCUGGGACUAAGUGGGACGAUGCUCAAUUGCAACCUAAGCUCUUUCAUACUGGAUGCUUGCGUUGCUGUUGCUGCCAACUCUUUUCACAUCAUUGUUGGUGCCUUUGCCAAGUUCACAGCAGAGCUGGAGGGUCCAAGAAAAUAUUUCUUGAUGCUUCUCCACUCAUUGCUAUAACAGCUGCAGGUCACGAAGUCAUGUCUACUGGCCUUCACUUGUUCUUCAGUGAGCACUCAGUCUCCAGCAUCACAUUUGAACUGUUUGGGCUAAGGCAUUUUGGUGCCAUCUCCAGCACAGUACCACUGCGGUUGCAAACUUGGAUCUUAUUUGACUCUGAGUCUUCGACGGAAUACGCUUCGUUUGCCGUGUACACACGAGCACUGCCAACUUUGACUUGGCUUCCACAGGCAGAGGAAUCUUGGAGGUUGACAUAAGAAACGGAAACAAAGAGACAAGGAGCGUCCUAUCGAAGAUGGAAAGAAGAAGAAAAGAAACGAAGAGACAAAGUGGAUCACGCUAACAGGUAUCACCGACUCAUCAUGUUUACUUGCCCUUGUUUGACCAAAAAUUACGAUAGUAUUUUUUUUUGCCGUUGUUAUCAAAGAUGACAACGUGAUGAUAACAUGUUCUUUUUGCCUUCAACAAGAAGUUUGAUGCAUUGCUACAGUAAGUAUAAAUUGCUGAUAGAUCUGAGACAUUUUUCAUCCUAUCUUUUGUCGUCUUGAAUAUGACUCCGGUGCUUAU